rnacentral:rRNA from 1 species
UACGGAGGGGGCAAGCGUUGUCCGGAAUCAUUGGGCGUAAAGCGCGUGUAGGCGGCUCGAUAAGUCUGCUGUGAAAGCCCAGGGCUCAACCCUGGGAUGCCGGUGGAUACUGUCGAGCUCGAGUCCGGAAGAGGCGAGUGGAAUUCCUGGUGUAGCGGUGGAAUGCGCAGACAUCAGGAGGAACACCAAUAGCGAAGGCAGCUCGCUGGGACGGUACUGACGCUAAGGCGCGAAAGCGUGGGGAGCGAACAGG